rnacentral:rRNA from 1 species
GACGAACGCUGGCGGCGUGCUUAACACAUGCAAGUCGAACGGAAAGGCCCUGCUUUUGUGGGGUGCUCGAGUGGCGAACGGGUGAGUAACACGUGAGUAACCUGCCCUUGACUUUGGGAUAACUUCAGGAAACUGGGGCUAAUACCGUAUAGGAGCUCCUGCUGCAUGGUGGGGGUUGGAAAGUUUGGGCGGUUGGGGAUGGACGCGCGGCUUAUCAGCUUGUUGGUGGGGUAGUGGCUUACCAAGGCUUGGACGGGUGGCCGGCCUGGGAGGGUGACCGGCCACAUGGGGACUAGGAUACGGCCCAGACUCCUACGGGAGGCAGCAGUGGGGAAUAUUGCACAAUGGGCGGAAGCCUGAUGAAGCAACGCCGCGUGCGGGAUGACGGCCUUCGGGUUGUAAACCGCUUUCGCCUGUGACGAAGCGUGAGUGACGGUAAUGGGUAAAGAAGCACCGGCUAACUACGUG